UACGUAGGGGGCAAGCGUUGUCCGGAAUCAUUGGGCGUAAAGCGCGCGUAGGCGGCUCUGUAAGUCCGUUGUGAAAGUCAAAGGCUCAACCUUUGAAAGCCGAUGGAUACUGCAGAGCUAGAGUCCGGAAGAGGCGAGUGGAAUUCCUGGUGUAGCGGUGGAAUGCGCAGAUAUCAGGAGGAACACCAAUAGCGAAGGCAGCUCGCUGGGACGGUACUGACGCUAAGGCGCGAAAGCGUGGGGAGCGAACAGG
rnacentral:rRNA from 1 species